rnacentral:misc_RNA from 1 species
AACCCUUGUGGAGGAGGACGCCGAAGGUGGGGCUAAUGACUGGGGUGAAGUCGUAACAAGGUAGCCGUACCGGAAGGUGCGGCUGGAUCACCUCCUAACAGGGAGACAACAAAAUGUUUAAUAUUAUUAUUUUGUCACCUUAGGUCGAUCGGUAUCUCACGUUCUUAAUUUAUUAAGAAUUUCAUUUCCUAAGUUUUUCUAGGUCACACCCAUUAUUUUUCCUGGGCCAUUAGCUCAGGUGGUUAGAGCGCACCCCUGAUAAGGGUGAGGUCCCUGGUUCAAGUCCAGGAUGGCCCAUAUCUCUAUGUUGGGGGUAUAGCUCAGUUGGUAGAGCGCCUGCUUUGCAAGCAGGAUGUCAGCGGUUCGAGUCCGCUUACCUCCACUGAUUACCACCUCUUCCAUAAUUUGAAGAAAGGAAAUUUUUUGAGUCGUGAUCAAAUUCUGAACGAAUCUAGCUUCCUAAUGAAUCUAUUAAGAUGCUGGACUCAUUGAAUUAAUUUUCAUUGUUUUCAGAGAACCUUGACAACUGCAUAGAUUAUUUUUAAAGACAAUAAGCAUCUUUAAUGAUGCAGAUUUAUUAUUUGUGCGAAUGCAUUAAUAACAAUUCUAUUAAGCUGAUGCUUCAAUUUAAUGAAGUUAUUGGUCAAGCUACAAAGGGCUCACGGAGGAUACCUAGGCACACAGA